GUACACUCCUACGGGAGGCAGCAGUGGGGAAUCUUGCGCAAUGGGCGAAAGCCUGACGCAGCCAUGCCGCGUGAAUGAUGAAGGUCUUAGGAUUGUAAAAUUCUUUCACCGGGGACGAUAAUGACGGUACCCGGAGAAGAAGCCCCGGCUAACUUCGUGCCAGCAGCCGCGGUAAUACGAAGGGGGCUAGCGUUGCUCGGAAUUACUGGGCGUAAAGGGAGCGUAGGCGGACAUUUAAGUCAGGGGUGAAAUCCCGGGGCUCAACCUCGGAAUUGCCUUUGAUACUGGGUGUCUUGAGUAUGAGAGAGGUGUGUGGAACUCCGAGUGUAGAGGUGAAAUUCGUAGAGAUUCGGAAGAACACCAGUGGCGAAGGCGACACACUGGCUCAUUACUGACGCUGAGGCUCGAAAGCGUGGGGAGCAAACAGGAUUAGAAACCCCGGUAGUCCCAUGA
rnacentral:rRNA from 1 species